UAUCUUCAGGGCGGGGCGAAAUUCCCCACCGGCGGUGACAGUCCGCGAGCGUAAGCGCUGAUCCGGUGCAAUUCCGGAACCGACAGUACAGUCUGGAUGGGAGAAGAU
rnacentral:ncRNA from 1 species